rnacentral:rRNA from 1 species
UACGUAGGUGGCAAGCGUUGUCCGGAAUUAUUGGGCGUAAAGGGCGCGUAGGUGGCGCGACAAGUCAGUGGUGAAAGUUCGACGCUCAACGUCGAAUCGGCCACUGAUACUGUUGGGCUUGAGCACUGUAGAGGCUAAUGGAAUUCCGGGUGUAGCGGUGGAAUGCGUAGAGAUCCGGAAGAACACCGGUGGCGAAGGCGGUUAGCUGGGCAGUUGCUGACACUGAGGCGCGACAGCGUGGGGAGCAAACAGG